rnacentral:rRNA from 1 species
AUAAGACCACGGUUUCACAUGGAACUGAGGUAAAAGAUUUAUCGGUUUGGGGUGGGCUCGCGUCCGAUUAGGUAGUUGGUGAGGUAACGGCCCACCAAGCCGACGAUCGGUAGCCGACCUGAGAGGGUGAUCGGCCACAUUGGGACUGAGACACGGCCCAAACUCCUACGGGAGGCAGCAGUGGGGAAUAUUGGGCAAUGGGGGGAACCCUGACCCAGCAACGCCGCGUGGAGGAAGAAGGUUUUCGGAUCGUAAACUCCUGUCCUUGGAGACGAGUAGAAGACGGUAUCCAAGGAGGAAGCCCCGGCUAACUACGUGCCAGCAGCCGCGGUAAUACGUAGGGGGCAAGCGUUGUCCGGAAUAAUUGGGCGUAAAGGGCGCGUAGGCGGCUCGGUAAGUCUGGAGUGAAAGUCCUGCUUUUAAGGUGGGAAUUGCUUUGGAUACUGUCGGGCUUGAGUGCAGGAGAGGUUAGUGGAAUUCCCAGUGUAGCGGUGAAAUGCGUAGAGAUUGGGAGGAACACCAGUGGCGAAGGCGACUAACUGGACCGUAACUGACGCUGAGGCGCGAAAGUGUGGGGAGCAAACAGAAAUAGAUCCCCUGGUAGUCCCCACUGUAAACGAUGAAAGCUAGGGUGUAGGGGGUUUGGCCCCUUUUUGUGCCGCAGUUCAACCACAAAUAAGCAUUCCCGCUGGGGGGAGUACGGCCGCAAGGUUGAAACUCAAAAGGGAAUUGACGGGGGCCCGCACAAGCAGCGGAGCAUGUGGUUUUAAUUCGACGCAACGCGAAGAACCUUACCAGGUCUUGACAUCCACUUAAACUUACAGAGAUGUAAGGUGUGCUUGCACAAAGUGAGACAGGUGGUGCAUGGUUGUCGUCAGCUCGUGUCGUGAGAUGUUGGGUUAAGUCCCGCAACGAGCGCAACCCUUAUCUUCAGUUACUAACGCGUGAGGGUGAGGACUCUGAAGAGACUGCCGGGGACAACUCGGAGGAAGGUGGGGACGACGUCAAAUCAUCAUGCCCCUUAUGACCUGGGCUACACACGUGCUACAAUGGCCACGACAGAGAGAAGCGAAAUCGCAAGGUAGAGCGGAACUCAAAAAAGUGGUCCCAGUUCGGAUUGUGGGCUGCAACCCGCCCACAUGAAGUCGGAGUUGCUAGUAAUCGCGGAUCAGCAUGCCGCGGUGAAUACGUUCCCGGGCCUUGUACUCACCGCCCGUCA